GAUGAACGCUGGCGGCGUGCCUAAUACAUGCAAGUCGAGCGAACAGACGAGGAGCUUGCUCCUCUGACGUUAGCGGCGGACGGGUGAGUAACACGUGGAUAACCUACCUAUAAGACUGGGAUAACUUCGGGAAACCGGAGCUAAUACCGGAUAAUAUAUUGAACCGCAUGGUUCAAUAGUGAAAUACGGUUUUGCUGUCACUUAUAGAUGGAUCCGCGCCGCAUUAGCUAGUUGGUAAGGUAACGGCUUACCAAGGCGACGACGCGUAGCCGACCUGAGAGGGUGAUCGGCCACACUGGAACUGAGACACGGUCCAGACUCCUACGGGAGGCAGCAGUAGGGAAUCUUCCGCGAAGGGCGAAAGCCUGACGGAGCAACGCCGCGUGAGUGAUGAAGGUCUUCGGAUCGUAAAACUCUGUUAUGAGGGAAGAACAAAUGUGUAAGUAACUAUGCACGUCUUGACGGUACCUGAUCAGAAAGCCACGGCUAACUACGUG
rnacentral:rRNA from 1 species